CCCCCUCGAAGCUGGUCAUCGAGACUUCUCUGGCCAGUUUCACCUCCCUGUUGGACUUAGGCCGGGCCUCGUGCCCGGUCUUUUUU
rnacentral:ncRNA from 1 species